GCGAAAAAGGCAAGUCGUCGUCGUCUUCUUCCUCAAACUCAGAAUCGAAAUUGGAAAUUGUAUCUCGCCUUUCACCAGAGGACUUGCUACAGCGUCAGGUGUGAAAGUCUUCACCAUUGCGGAGCUGAAGAAAGCGACCAAGGUUUUUGGAGAUCAGGAUAUGAUAAUAAAAGAGAGGUUCGGAGGAGUAGUGAAGGGAUACAUCGAUCCCAAGAUAUGUAGAUCAUUUGAAUGCGAUGGCCAAGAUAUGAGAAGAAGAACUAAUGUUUAUAAAUUAUGUGGAACCAGCUUUUGAAAAAUAAAAAUUUGAGCAGACAAAUCUCAUGUUUAUAAUGGUCAUUAACUAUUCAAGUCCAUGUUCCAGUGUAAGUAACAUGGAAGUGUCUUCAAUAAGACUCUAUAUACCGUUUUCU